rnacentral:rRNA from 1 species
AUUGAACGCUGGCGGCAGGCUUAACACAUGCAAGUCGAGCGAGCGGCGGACGGGUGAGUAAUGUCUGGGAAACUGCCUGAUGGAGGGGGAUAACUCCUGGAAACGGUAGCUAAUACCGCAUACCAUCAGCUUUGCCCAGCUGGGAUUGGCUAGUAGGUGGGGUAAUGGCUCACCUAGGCGACGAUCCCUACCUGGUCUGAGAGGAUAACCAGCCACAUUGGAACUGAGAAACGGUCCAGACUCCGACGGGAGGCAGCAGUGGGGAAUAUUGGACAAUGGGCGCAAGCCUGAUGCAGCCAUGCCGCGUGUGUGAAGAAGGCCUUCGGGUUGUAAAGCACUGUCAGCGAGGAGGCGUUACUCGCAGAAGAAGCACCGGCUAACUCCGUGCCAGCAGCCGCGGUAAUAC